rnacentral:rRNA from 1 species
GACGAACGCUGGCGGCGUGCCUAACACAUGCAAGUCGAACGUAGUAUUUAAUGAAGCUUGCGAUUUAAAUACUUAGUGGCGAACGGGUGAGUAACGCGUGGGUAACCUGCCCUUAAAACCGGAACAACAGUUGGAAACGACUGCUAAUGCCGGAUGUUUUGUCCGGGAGGCAUCUUCUGGAUAAUAAAGCUGGCCUCUGAACAUGCUGGCGAUUAAGGAUGGACCCGCGUCUGAUUAGCUAGUUGGUGGGGUAACGGCCUACCAAGGCGACGAUCAGUAGCCGGCCUGAGAGGGUAAACGGCCACACUGGGACUGAGACACGGCCCAGACUCCUACGGGAGGCAGCAGUGGGGAAUCUUCCGCAAUGGACGAAAGUCUGACGGAGCAACGCCGCGUGUAUGAUGAAGGCCUUCGGGUUGUAAAAUACUGUUGUCAGGGAAGAACGGCUCUCGUGUAAAUAGCGCGAGGGAUUGACGGUACCUGACGAGGAAGCCCCGGCUAACUACGUGCCAGCCGCCGCCGUAACAC